rnacentral:rRNA from 1 species
CCUACGGGUGGCAGCAGUGGGGAAUAUUGCACAAUGGGGGAAACUCUGAUGCAGCGACGCAGCGUGCGUGAUGAAGUAAUUCGUUAUGUAAAGCUCCAUCAGCAGGGAAGAAAAUGACGGUACCUGUGUAAGAAGCCCCGGCUAACUACGUGCCAGCAGCCGCGGUAAUACGUAGGGGGCCAGCGUUAUCCGGAUUUACUGGGUGUAAAGGGAGCGUAGACGGCAGUGCAAGUCUGGAGUGAAAGGCGGGGGCUCAACCCCCGGACUGCGCUGGAAACUGUACGGCUGGAGUGCAGGAGAGGUAAGUGGAAUGCCUAGUGUAGCGGUGAAAUGCGUAGAUAUUAGGAGGAACACCAGUGGCGAAGGCGGCUUACUGGACUGUAACUGACGUUGAGGCUCGAAAGCGUGGGGAGCAAACAGGAUUAGAUACCCGAGUAGUC